UUUGGAGGGCAAAUCUGGUGCCAGCAGCCGCGGUAAUUCCAGCUCCAAUAGCGUAUAUUAAAGUUGUUGCAGUUAAAAAGCUCGUAGUUGAAUUUCGGGAUCAAAUUGUCGGUCGUGCCUCGGUACGUACUGGCGUUAUUGGUUCCUCCCUUCUGAAGAACCGCGAUGUCAUUAAUUUGGUGUCGCGGGGAAUCAGGACUGUUACUUUGAAAAAAUUAGAGUGUGUAAAAGCAGGCACAC
rnacentral:rRNA from 1 species